CGUAUGGCGCGGGGCGACCCGCGUCUUCAUAUACCUCUUCGUGUAGAAAGUCUUGAAUGUUUUUACAAUCAUCGAGUCGUGACUUCUAGGAGACGCGAUUCUUUGAGACAAAAGUUAUCACAACUUUCAGCAUUGGAUCUCUUGGCUCUCGCAUCGAUGAAGAACGCAGCGAAUCGCGAUAUGUAAUGUGAAUUGCAGAUCUACAGUGAAUCAUCGAAUCUUUGAACGCACCUUGCGCUCCUCGGUGUUCCGAGGAGCAUGCCUGUUNGAGCGUCAGUAAAUUCUCAACCCCUCUCGAUUUGCUUCAAGUGGGGCUUGGAUAGUGGGGGCUGCCGGAGACCUGGAAUUCAUUCUGGGACUCGGGCUCCUCUGAAAUGCUCGGCUUGCGGUCACUUUCGACUUUGCGCGACAAAGCUUCGGCGUGAUAAUGAUCGCCGUUC
rnacentral:rRNA from 1 species